rnacentral:rRNA from 1 species
UACGUAGGGUGCAAGCGUUGUCCGGAAUUACUGGGCGUAAAGGGCUCGUAGGCGGCCAACUAAGUCAGACGUGAAAUCCCUCGGCUUAACCGGGGAACUGCGUCUGAUACUGGAUGGCUAGAGAUUGGGAGAGGGAUGCGGAAUUCCAGGUGUAGCGGUGAAAUGCGUAGAUAUCUGGAGGAACACCGGUGGCGAAGGCGGCAUCCUGGACCAACACUGACGCUGAGGAGCGAAAGCCAGGGGAGCAAACGGG